UGCGUUAAGUUUUUGCUCGUCUCUUGAUUAACUCCCCGCAAUGUUGAAAUAUCCUCAACUUCAAAAUAUAUCACAUGACCUUCUCCGGGGCCACAUCGGGCAAGCUUCGAGAACAGUUUAUGGAUCAACCUUCUUUUGGCUUCCAAUAUCUACUCCGUACCGUGGUUUGUGGAUACAUGAAAUUCGUCGGGAGAAGCUACGAAUUCAUAAACAUGAAAUGCAUACAGCGGAUAAAUAUGUACUUGCAUGGGGCUUGCUUGUCAUGGUUUAUCGGCAUUUGUCUUCCAAUCAUCCUCAAUUCCACGGAAUACUGUUCGAACGGUUGGGAAGCACAGACUGCCU
rnacentral:sRNA from 2 species